UAAGUUGUAGCUAAUGUCUAAGCACUCCACUUACGCUGGAGGGAUUGCCUUUAUCGGCACUACUUAA
rnacentral:tRNA from 1 species